CGGGCACGGUGCAGCGCCGCCUCCCGUUCGCCUCUGCGCCUGGCCCGGCGACUGCGGGCGCUGCGGUCCACUGGGUCCGCCUCUUCCCGGCAUGGGUUUCUGCCCAGCUCACCCGCUGUCAGCUGGGGUCCUGCUCUGGUGGGAGGAAGAGGCUCAGACGCUUCCCUGCCCUCUCGCCUCAACCACCUCGAGGCAGCGGCUCCCAGGAUGUGCACUUUGACGACUAAAGCUGAGCCGGCGCCGCCACGACCUUGGGCGGGUGGUCGGCCUCUGCCCUGAGCAGGAAGUAGAAAGUCUCAGCAGACCCUUCCUGAGGGCCGAGCAACAGUGUAGUGGCGUAUUCCACAUAGCAAACAGGUCCCCAGACAGUCCCGGUGUGCACACUUCCCUGCUUCUGUUCAUGAUGUUCUCUGAACCUGGGAUCACCUUUCCCCUUCCUCUUACCUGCCCGAUCCUACUUGUCCUCCCAGAUUCAGUUUUCUGAAGCUCAGAGGGACACCUUGUAUUGCUGGAUGAUAAAAACAGGAGCAAAGUGAUGAAGUGCUGACAAGGCAACAAUAGAACAUGAGAGAUUCACUGCUGUGUAGGAAGAGAUCUUCGGUGACCAUGUAGCCUGAAGCUCUCAUUUUGUCAUCGAGGGACACCAAAACUCAGAACAGCAGCAGCUCACGCUGCUGAUGCAACACAGGUGAAGAGCACCUUCCCCUCCCCCACCUGUGGGCUGAUUCCCACCACGUGGAUCCCAAGGCCAUCCCAGGAACUCUUUGGAGGGGAGAAGCCCAGUGGAAACUGUCAGGCCUCUGAGCACAAGCCAAGCCAUCGCAUCCCCUGUGACUUGCACGUAUAUGCCCAGAUGGCCUGAAGUAACUGAAGAAUCACAAAAGAAGUGAAAAGGCCCUGCCCCACCUUAACUGAUGACAUUCCACCAUUGUGAUUUGUUCCUGCCCCACCUUCACUGAGUGAUUAACCCUGUGAAUUUCCUUCUCCUGGCUCAGAAGCUCCCCCACUGAGCACCUUGUGACCCCCGCCCCUGCCCACCAGAGAACAACCCCCUUUGACUGUAAUUUUCCAUUACCUUCCCAAAUCCUAUAAAACGGCCCCACCCCUAUCUCCCUUCGCUGACUCUCUUUUCGGACUCAGCCCGCCUGCACCCAGGUGAAAUAAACAGCCAUGUUGCUCACA
rnacentral:lncRNA from 10 species